UACGAAGGGGGCUAGCGUUGCUCGGAAUGACUGGGCGUAAAGGGCGCGUAGGCGGUGCAUUUGGUCAGUCGUGAAAUUCCUGGGCUUAACCUGGGGACUGCGCUUGAGACGGGUGUGCUGGAGGGCAGGAGAGGCUCGCGGAAUUCCCAGUGUAGAGGUGAAAUUCGUAGAUAUUGGGAAGAACACCGGUGGCGAAGGCGGCGAGCUGGCCUGUACCUGACGCUGAGGCGCGACAGCGUGGGGAGCAAACAGG
rnacentral:rRNA from 1 species